GAUGAAGAACGCAGUGAAAUGCGAUAAUUAAUGUGAAUUGCAGAAUUCAGUGAAUCAUCGAGUCUUUGAACGCACAUUGCGCCCCCUGGUAUUCCGGGGGGCAUGCCUGUCCGAGCGUCAUUGCUGCCCUCAAGCACGGCUUGUGUGUUGGGCUUCCGUCCCUGGCAACGGGGACGGGCCCAAAAGGCAGUGGCGGUACCAUGUCUGGUCCUCGAGCGUAUGGGGCUUUGUCACCCGCUCCCGUAGGUCCAGCUGGCAGCUAGCCUCGCAACCAAUCUUUUUAACCAGGUUGACCUCGGAUCAGGUAGGGAUACCCGCUGAACUUAAGCAUAUCAAUAAGCGGAGGA
rnacentral:misc_RNA from 1 species